GAUGAACGCUGGCGGCGUGCCUAAUACAUGCAAGUCGAGCGAACAGACGAGGAGCUUGCUCCUCUGACGUUAGCGGCGGACGGGUGAGUAACACGUGGAUAACCUACCUAUAAGACUGGGAUAACUUCGGGAAACCGGAGCUAAUACCGGAUAAUAUAUUGAACCGCAUGGUUCAAUAGUGAAAGACGGUUUUGCUGUCACUUAUAGAUGGAUCCGCGCCGCAUUAGCUAGUUGGUAAGGUAACGGCUUACCAAGGCAACGAUGCGUAGCCGACCUGAGAGGGUGAUCGGCGACACUGGAACUGAGACACGGUCCAGACUCCUACGGGAGGCAGCAGUAGGGAAUCUUCCGCAAUGGGCGAAAGCCUGACGGAGCAACGCCGCGUGAGUGAUGAAGGUCUUCGGAUCGUAAAACUCUGUUAUUAGGGAAGAACAAAUGUGUAAGUAACUAUGCACGCCUUGACGGUACCUAAUCAGAAAGCCACGGCUAACUACGUG
rnacentral:rRNA from 1 species